AUGAGUGAACCCACAGGAGCUGAACACUGCAAACCCACAGGUGCAGAUCUGCCCGAGGCCUUGGGAGCCCAGCCCUCACACCCCGGCACCAUGGAUGCGGCACGGAGAUUCAAAAAGGAUAAUUUUGGAGCUGUAGGAUUUAAUGACUGUCCUGCUGGGUUUUGGACUUUCAUGUAUCCUGGUAUGGCAGCUCUUUCCUCUGUCUUGCUCCUGCUCCUGCCAUAUGAAACAUUGCAUUACCACUUGGCCUUCUGGAAUGAUUGGGAGACUUCCUGCAUCCUCUUAGAAGCAGAAAUCACAACGCUCCCUCUACAGCCUGAAGAACUGACCUCCGUGCAUGGGCGCUGUUCAUCCUCUGGUGCUGAAGCAGCUGAGAGACCCAAACUUGUCUGGCUGCCUCAGGAUAUGACAGCACAGCCAGUGACCUCUACUGGGCCCUGUACAACCUCACAAGACACCCAGACACUGGAAGUGCUGCCAGCAUGUGGUGCAAGAGCCCCGAGGACCCACAAUCCGGAAGACAUUGAGUGGUGGGUGCAGGGCCUCAUGGCCUGUUCCCCAGCCCCUCUCAUUGGCUCUCCUCCAGUUAAUGAAGGUGGAAAACGUUUUUGUCAAUUCCGCCAUUACUGCCUAGCAGGAAAAGGAGCAGAGCCCAGAAGCACGAUCUGGUAA
rnacentral:lncRNA from 13 species